UGUUUCGGCUAGGGGGUCAUCCCGACUUACCAACCCGAUGCAAACUACGAAUACCGAAGAAUGUUAUCACGGGAGACACACGGCGGGUGCUAACGUCCGUCGUGAAGAGGGAAACAACCCAGACCGCCAGCUAAGGUCCCAAAGUCAUGGUUAAGUGGGAAACGAUGUGGGAAGGCACAGACAGCCAGGAUGUUGGCUUAGAAGCAGCCAUCAUUUAAAGAAAGCGUAAUAGCUCACUGGUCGAGUCGGCCUGCGCGGAAGAUGUAACGGGGCUAAACCAUGCACCGAAGCUGCGGCAGCGAC
rnacentral:rRNA from 1 species